rnacentral:rRNA from 1 species
UUAUAGAGUUUAAUAAAAUUUAGUUAUAUAAAAAAAAGUUUGUGCAAGAUUAAGUAUUUGGGUUAAGAAAAUACUCAAGCUAACGAUCUUUAGUUGGUCUAGAAGGAUGAACAACCACAUUGGAAUUGAGAUAAGGACCAAACUUUUAUAAGGCAGCAGUGGGGAAUAUUGGGCAAUGAGCGAAAGUUGACCCAGUUAAAUUAUUUAUAUGAAGAAGGUGUCAAAUCGUAAAAUAUAAGAAAUUUAAAAUUGUGAUUUUAAAUUUUUCAUAGUCCUGGCUAAUUUCGUGCCAGCAGCCGCGGUAAUACGAAAAGGGCGAGCGUUAUUCGGUAUUAUUAGGCGUAAAGAAUAUGUAGGUUGAAAUUUAAUUAAUUUGUAAAAAACUAUUGAAUGAAUUCUAGGUGGCAUCUUAAAAAAAAUUUCUCGAGUUUAAAAUAA